AGUAAACCAGACACACAACAGCGGAGGCGCAAAGCGAAAAGGAUAAAACGCCCAUCUGUCAGCUACAACCAUGGAGGACGAUUUGGAGAGGUUCUUAAUUUCUAGAGAAGUCCCAAAAGACGACAUUACACGAAUGAAGAGAGACAAGGUUGACAAAGCAGUGUUGCGCAUCAUGAGUGAUGAGCAAAUGU